UAGGGAAUAUUGCACAAUGGGCGAAAGCCUGAUGCAGCAACGCCGCGUGCGCGAUGACGGCCUUCGGGUUGUAAAGCGCUUUUCGGGGAGAUGAGGAAGGACAGUAUCCCCGGAAUAAGGCUCGGCUAACUACGUGCCAGCAGCCGCGGUAACACGUAGGAGCCAAGCGUUAUCCGAAUUCACUGGGCGUAAAGCGCGUGUAGGCGGCUUGGUAAGUUGGAUGUGAAAGCUCCUGGCUCAACUGGGAGAGGACGUUCAAGACUGCCGGGCUAGAGGGCGGCAGAGGGAGGUGGAAUUCCCGGUGUAGUGGUGAAAUGCGUAGAUAUCGGGAGGAACACCAGUGGCGAAAGCGGCCGCCUGGGUCGCAACUGACGCUCAGACGCGAAAG
rnacentral:rRNA from 1 species